CCCUUAUCCUGUCAUGACAUGCCCUUGUAAAAAGUCCAUCUCCAGAUCUCUUGUCAAGCUCCUUUAUGUAUCAGAAGCUGCUAUGAGCCUUCUUUUGCCUAUGCUGAACAACCCCAGCUCUGUCUUCACAAGAAGAAAACCUGUUCCAGCAUCCUGACCAUUUCCAUGGCCUCCCCUAGACCUGCUCCAACAGGCCUUGUGCUGGGGAUCCUGAGCUGGAUACCGCACUCAGGUGGGUCUCACGAGUGGACCAGAAGGGGACGAUCAUCUUCCUGCACCUCCAACUGGUCUCGCUGCGCUCCACAAGGCCCACACGGGCCUGCUCCCCCACCUCGGGGCCGACACCGGGGACACCCCGACCGGCUGCUGCCCUCUCCCGGAGACCCCGCACGACCCCUCUCGGCACAGGCCGCCGGUCUGCGAGGCCAGAGCCCGGUUCGCCCUCCCGCCAUAGAGGAGCCCGAUACUCGCCCCUCAAGGCCAGACCGGGGUCCGCUGGACCGCUCCCACCCUCCCUUUCCGAGGCGCCAGGCGGUGCCGGGGCGGGCCGACUCCUCUCCCCGCCCUCGGCCUCUUUGUGCCGCCCGCCCCAGCACCACGCUGCCCUCCGCCUCGCUUCGCUUCGCCUCGCCUCGCCGCGGCGCUGCCCGCCCGGCUCCGGCUGAGGGGAUCGGCGGGUCAGCCCGCCUCCAUCCCCGCCCCGCCUUGCCUCGUCUCGUCUCUCUGCCCCCUGUGCGGGCUUCUCACCGCCCCUUCCUCCGGGCUGUGUGUCAGCCCGUCCUGUUCGCUGCCCCUCGGCUGUCUCCGGAGCUUCCCCACUGCCCGCCCGGGAUGGCGUCGCUGGCAGCGCCUUGAGCCGGCCGGGGCGAGCCCUCCGCCGCCGGAGGAGGAGAGAUGAACCGCUUCCAGCCCGGGGUCGCGCUGCUGCUCUCGCUGCUGUGGGAGAUGUCGCUCCUAUGAGGAUUGCUGUGGUUCAAGAUGCUGUGUGAGAGCUCUCUCUAUCCAGAGACUAUGGUAUUUUUGGU